GAGGAUUUUGCUCAGUGGUAGAGUGCAUGCUUAGCAUGCAUGAGGUUCUGGGUUCAAUCCCAGUACCUCCA
rnacentral:tRNA from 1 species